rnacentral:rRNA from 1 species
AGAGUUUGAUCAUGGCUCAGGACGAACGCUGGCGGCGUGCCUAAUACAUGCAAGUCGAGCGGAAUGAUGAAGAAGCUUGCUUCUUCUGAUUUUAGCGGCGGACGGGUGAGUAACACGUGGGCAACCUACCUUGUAGAUUGGGAUAACUCCGGGAAACCGGGGCUAAUACCGAAUAAUCCAUUUUGCUUCAUGGCAAGAUGUUGAAAGGCGGCUUCGGCUGUCACUACGAGAUGGGCCCGCGGCGUAUUAGCUAGUUGGUAGGGUAAUGGCCUACCAAGGCGACGAUACGUAGCCGACCUGAGAGGGUGAUCGGCCACACUGGGACUGAGACACGGCCCAGACUCCUACGGGAGGCAGCAGUAGGGAAUCUUCCACAAUGGACGAAAGUCUGAUGGAGCAACGCCGCGUGAGUGAAGAAGGUUUUCGGAUCGUAAAACUCUGUUGUAAGGGAAGAACACGUACGAGAGUAACUGCUCGUACCUUGACGGUACCUUAUUAGAAAGCCACGGCUAACUACGUGCCAGCAGCCGCGGUAAUACGUAGGUGGCAAGCGUUGUCCGGAAUUAUUGGGCGUAAAGCGCGCGCAGGCGGUUCUUUAAGUCUGAUGUGAAAGCCCACGGCUCAACCGUGGAGGGUCAUUGGAAACUGGAGAACUUGAGUACAGAAGAGGAAAGCGGAAUUCCACGUGUAGCGGUGAAAUGCG